rnacentral:tRNA from 1 species
GUCCCGGUGAAGCAAAGGAUAGCGCGUCGGACUUCUAAUCCGGAGGUUGUGGGUUCGAGUCCCAUCCGGGGCG